rfam:Ovis aries breed Texel chromosome 3, whole genome shotgun sequence.
UCCCUGGUGGCUCAGACGGUAAAGCAUCUGUCUACAAUGCAGGAGACCCAGGUUUGAACCCUGGGUUGGGAA